rnacentral:lncRNA from 1 species
CGAUAAAGGAUUAGAUAUAAAAAAGAAUCAAAAAAUUAUUAAUAUGAUACUUUAAAUUGCAACAGUCUUUUUUUAACUAUUUUUAAACAUCGACCAUCUUUUCAUUUAUAAAAGGAACCAUGUAUAUUGAAAAAAGGGAAUAUGUUAGUUUGUUCCAGGGCGUUUUAUCCUUCGAUUUGGAAAACAAAUGUUUGUUCCGAGCAAAUAUAACUAUACCCCCUUGAAAAAAUGAAUGUUGGGGCUAAACAAAUAUUUGGUUUUCAUUUAGAAAAAAAAAA